UUUACCUUUAAUCUGCUGGGAAAGUAAGGAAGAAUUUGGCAGUUGGUCGUAAACUCGUAAUAACGAGUCUUGACAAAGCUGACGUCAUUACAGCAGGAAUGGAAGCCCUGGGUGAUUGUUUGGUGGCGCCAAAUCAAGUGUUAUUCUUGUGUGUUGGAAUUUCGAGUGACUUAUAUAUCUCGAGAUGAACGCUUACAACAGUUUCGUUUUGAACACCAAUACGUUAUCCCAGCAGUGAAGCGUCGAAUGUAAUCGUCGUUGGACACAACGUCUAUGCACCAGACUUUACGGUCUGCUUUUUUCACUAUUUCGAUUUUUGUGACCUUGGUCGUCAAACGAUCUAAAUCCGAUAACAAUUCAAUGUGACCUUUACAAAACUAGGAUCAAUAUCUAUUAGAAUCAUGCUUCCUCACUGAAGAUAAUCUGCAAUCCACCAAUGCAACAUACAAUUCCACGUUUCAAAUAAUGGAUGGCAGCUGCAUUGUCUUUCCCGUUUCUUCAAGAAAAGCAUGUUUUCAGUCCUUUCGCGGUUUUAUGCUGAUGCCUUUUCGUCAAAGAUGACCAGAUAGAUGUCAUUAGACAGAUCACAAAGAGAAAUCGAUCACUAAUUCAUCGACAAAGCGGCACCAUCGCUAUUAAGACUAUACAACCCCUGUUGUUUCUCUCUUGGGGUCAAUUUCGAGAUAAGGAUUUGACAGAUACUUGCUCGACUAAAGGUGCGGUAUUAAAAAGGACGAUUUUUCCCCAGCAUAUAUGGUGCCAUAACCUUCGCCUCAAUGUUCUCACAUUCGUGUGAUGAAAGCUGAUCCGUUCUAGCCGAUAAGAGCACGGGCUCUAUUCGUUCAGCGGCAUAUAAGUAAAAGGGAGCAAUUUACUCGAGCGUCCAUAUCUAAAUAAACAAAUGGGUGAUUUAUACUACCACACGUCUCGUGUCCGGUGUCCAAACAAGGGCUUGUGUAAAUGCUGAAUAUGAGAAAACGAUUGCAUCGUGUCCUUUACAUGCUCUCCGGUUCAGCCGACUCGAAAGAAGGAUGCAACGGUGACGCAAUUUAUCGGAAGGAGCUGCUGCUACUUUAAUGCUGGUUCUACCGAGGGUUGAACUCGGAUCGCAGGAUUCAAAGUCCUGAGUGCUAACCAUUACACCAUAGAACCGUACAAUAAAGUUCUUUCCAGCUGAUCUGAUACCCGAAGUUUUGGAGUGAAUGAACAAAUGGAAGUCAUUACGCCACACGUGGUUCUUGUGGGGUUCAGAUGAUCACCCAAAUUAAAUUGGACAGUGGGAAAAAAGCUAAAUAAAAAUUUUAGGUUCUACCGAGGGUUGAACUCGGAUCGCAGGAUUCAAAGUCCUGAGUGCUAACCAUUACACCAUAGAACCUUGAACAAAAUGUCUUCUCUAGUCAUGAGGUCUGUAUAUCCAAUUGGUUUCGUUGGUACCGUGCUGAUGAAUGAACCCAACCAUAUCAAACAUGCGUUAUUGUUUGCAUCGCGUGACUGCAAUAGCCACUGGGAAAAUGCAAGCACUUACGAAGAAAGCCGCAGAAUCAUCAUUGCCUAAGUCCAGCUUAUAACCUACAACGGAUUCCCGUCUUUACUGCCGGGGGAAGAGUUGGCUGAACACCUGAAAUUGAGGCCACUUAAGCUAUACAACAAGGAAUCUGUCGCUAGAGUUUCUAACGAGUUUUCCACGGCCGCUUACCGUUCUGGUCACAGCACGCUACAGAUGUUGUAAAGAAAAAGAGUGAAAACAACUAUUCAACCAUAGUGAAGCAAGAUUUGAUGGAGCGCAGAGGUGCAGUGUUGAUAGCGCACAGUUGGUCAAAACUUCAACCCGUUUGCUUUGUGAUGUUCGGCAAACAAAACGCUGUUGAAUGUGGUUAACAAUCUUUUCGUUCUAACUAAAGAAAUCAAAGCACGGCUUCGAGUUGUUUGCCAUAAAUGUGCAGAGAGGGACGGAUUAUGGACUUGUUCCCUAUUAUCGGCGGCAAGAACCCCACUACAAUCUCUUCUGUAAUAAAUUUGCGUAAUCUGAAGAAGGAAAAGAGGCCAACUUCGUUCUCUGUCCCCAACGCUUUGCUUCGUGACCACAUAUCGUGGUCAGUUUUGCAUAUUCUCGUGCACUAGGGACAUCAAGGACAUAGAUCUGCGCUUCAGAAUUGUGAAACUCUGUAUCGUGUGAGACUCUUGGACCUGUGGACAAUAAUAUUGCUGUCGAUCAACAUAUGUGCCUGGAAUGGCGAUGGUUUCUGUCAUGAAACAACCCUUACUAAGAUUGGUUUCACUUCCGGUGAGUUUCAGGUCAGGUCGGCUCAACAAGUAAUUCGUUACAUUAAUUGUGAUCUACAUUUCAAACAAGUAAAACCAGAUACGAAACAAAAGUCUUUUGAGAGUUCUAUACGAAAAGGGUGAUGCUAUGGGCGCAAUCCAUGGAGAUUCCAGGUGAAGGUAAUCCAAUGAAAAGCUUCACUGGCAAUGGCACCCAACGGAAUUGAUCAUAGAGACCUUGCAUUGGCUAGCCACGCCAAUUAUAAUUUGUUUCCUGUACUUGACUUUAAUAUUUUUAAGGAUUUUGGUACAGUGGUGUUCAAGGAAUUAGAUCAUUGUUUUUCCAGGGAAACGGCAAAUUAUUUUUAUGUAUUUACAAAUCUCAGUGUAGUAACCGACAUGCAUACUGUUUUGCAUCAUCAAAUGUCAACUAUAAACAACUUAAGCAGGCUUUACACAUA